ACUCUGUAUCGGGAUGUGUAUCCCGACUGAUGAGCUCCCGCUUUCGCCCAAGCUUCGGACGGGCAGGCACAGAGCGAAACAGAAA
rnacentral:hammerhead_ribozyme from 1 species